CCCUGGGGGCCUCGGAACCUGCUCAAACAGGGCAGCACUUAUUGAGCACCUGCUGCAUGCCCCGCCCACCUGGGCCCACCUUGCUGGCUUCCCUCCUCUCGACACCCCACGCGCUGCCUCUGGUUCCAGGUGACUGAAUGCCUGACCACCGUGAAGUCAGUCAACAAAACCGACAGCCAGACCCUCCUGGCCACUUUCGGAUCUCUGGAACAGCUCAUAGCCGCUUCGCGGGAUGACCUGGCCUUGUGCCCGGGCCUGGGGCCCCAGAAGGCGCGGCGGCUGUACGACGUCCUGCACGAGCCCUUCCUGCGCGCGCCGCGUUGAGCCUGCCGCCCGGAGGCCCCGGGGUUCCAAUAAACGCGGUCCAGGCCCAG